rnacentral:rRNA from 1 species
UAGUCAUAUGCUUGUCUCAAAGAUUAAGCCAUGCAUGUCUAAGUAUAAACAAGUUUAUACUGUGAAACUGCGCACAGCUCAUUAUAUCAGCAAUAAUUUAUUUGAUGGUUACUUACUACAUGGAUACCCGUAGUAAUUCUAGAGCUAAUACAUGCGUUAAAGUCCCGACCCGCGAGGGGAGGGAUGUAUUUAUUAGAUAAAAAACCAAUGGCUUUUCCUUUCGGGGGAGAGUCCUCUUUGGUGAUUCAUAAUAACUGUUCGAAUCGCAUGGCCUUCG